rnacentral:rRNA from 1 species
AGAGUUUGAUCCUGGCUCAGAUUGAACGCUGGCGGCAGGCCUAACACAUGCAAGUCGAGCGGCAGCGGGCCCUUCGGGAUGCCGGCGAGCGGCGGACGGGUGAGUAAUGCCUAGGAAUCUGCCUGGUAGUGGGGGAUAGCGUUCGGAAACGGACGCUAAUACCGCAUACGUCCUACGGGAGAAAGCAGGGGACCUUCGGGCCUUGCGCUAUCAGAUGAGCCUAGGUCGGAUUAGCUAGUUGGUGGGGUAAUGGCUCACCAAGGCGACGAUCCGUAACUGGUCUGAGAGGAUGAUCAGUCACACUGGAACUGAGACACGGUCCAGACUCCUACGGGAGGCAGCAGUGGGGAAUAUUGGACAAUGGGCGAAAGCCUGAUCCAGCCAUGCCGCGUGUGUGAAGAAGGUCUUCGGAUUGUAAAGCACUUUAAGUUGGGAGGAAGGGCAGUCAGCUAAUACCUUGCUGUUUUGACGUUACCAACAGAAUAAGCACCGGCUAACUUCGUGCCAGCAGCCGCGGUAAUACGAAGGGUGCAAGCGUUAAUCGGAAUUACUGGGCGUAAAGCGCGCGUAGGUGGUUCAGCAAGUUGGAUGUGAAAGCCCCGGGCUCAACCUGGGAACUGCAUCCAAAACUACUGAGCUAGAGUACGGUAGAGGGUGGUGGAAUUUCCUGUGUAGCGGUGAAAUGCGUAGAUAUAGGAAGGAACACCAGUGGCGAAGGCGACCACCUGGACUGAUACUGACACUGAGGUGCGAAAGCGUGGGGAGCAAACAGGAUUAGAUACCCUGGUAGUCCACGCCGUAAACGAUGUCGACUAGCCGUUGGGAUCCUUGAGAUCUUAGUGGCGAAGCUAACGCGAUAAGUCGACCGCCUGGGGGAGUACGGCCGCAAGGUUAAAACUCAAAUGAAUUGACGG